CACUGGGGUACCACAGGAGUCAUCAACAAGCUGCCAAGGUGGCUGCCAACCCAGAGCCAGGAGCAUGGCUUGGGCAGGUGGAGAGAGUGGCAGAGCUGUGCACACAGAAAUCCUGUCUGAAAUGAAUCCCUGAUAAAGAGGAAGCCAAGUUGAAAGAGCUGGAAGAUUUCAGGUUGAGGCAGGAAAUUUGUGCGAGUUGUUAUUACUGCAAUCAGAUGAAGUGAGAAUUGGAUCGGCCGAGGCUGCCAGAGCACAGCUCUCCCAGCAGGACACCCAGGCUCUGCCCAAUCAGGGAAAGCUGCUAGCUCGAUCUGCAGGUCCCACCAGCAAUUUUGGACUUGCCUUUGGUGUCCCACCUCUCCCUCCCAUCCCACCUCCCAGCCCCACCAGCUGCCAGCAGAGAGCAGGGAAACGCAUCGGGACAGGAGGGCGAGGAAUCAGAAAGGACUUGGCGAG
rnacentral:lncRNA from 1 species